UACGGAGGGUGCAAACGUUGCUCGGAAUCAUUGGGCGUAAAGCGCACGUAGGCGGCUUGUUAAGUCGGAUGUGAAAGCCCUCGGCUCAACCGAGGAAGUGCAUUCGAAACUGGCAGACUUGAGUACGGGAGAGGGUUGCGGAAUUCUCGGUGUAGAGGUGAAAUUCGUAGAUAUCGGGAGGAACACCUGUGGCGAAGGCGGCAACCUGGACCGAUACUGACGCUGAGGUGCGAAAGCGUGGGGAGCAAACAGG
rnacentral:rRNA from 1 species